rnacentral:lncRNA from 1 species
GUCCUAGCCAAGUACAUCUACCACAGACAUGACCCAGCUUUGCCACGCCUGGCCAUCCAGCUGCUGAAACGUUUGGCCACGGUAGCCCCAAUGUCAGUGUAUGCUUGCCUGGGCAGUGACGCAGCUGCCAUCCGUGAUGCCUUCCUGACCCGCCUUCAGAGCAAGAUUGAGGACAUGCGCAUCAAAGUCAUGAUCCUGGAGUUCCUUACAGUGGCUGUGGAGACCCAGCCAGGCCUCAUCGAGCUGUUUCUGAAUCUGGAGGUGAAGGACGGCAGCAGUGGCUCCAAGGAAUUCAGCCUUGGCGUGUGGAGUUGUCUCCAUGUGGUGCUGGAGCUGAUCGACUCCCAGCAGCAGGAUCGAUACUGGUGCCCACCUCUGCUGCACCGUGCAGCCAUCGCCUUCCUUCACGCCCUGUGGCAGGACCGUAGGGACAGUGCCAUGCUCGUCCUCAGAACCAAACCCAGGUUUUGGGAGAAUUUAACGAGUCCGCUGUUUGGAACUCUCUCUCCUCCUUCAGAGACAUCUGAGCCCAGCAUCCUGGAAACCUGUGCCCUCAUCAUGAAG